UGGACUUAUUGACACAGUCUCUGCAGUUCACUCUCUACUACCAUUGCUUGGUCUGUUAAAGUCUCAUGGAAAGCUCGUCUUGGUUGGUGCACCAGAAAAUCCAUUUGAAUUACCAGCCUUUCCUUUGCUUAUGGGGAGGAAAAUAGUAGCGGGAAGUAACAUUGGGGGUAUGAAGGAGACACAAGAAAUGAUUGAUUUUGCAGGAAAACACAACAUAACUGCGGACAUUGAGGUCAUCCCAGUGGACUAUGUGAACACUGCUAUGGAGCGUCUUGCCAAAGCCGAUGUUAAGUACCGAUUUGUCAUUGACAUUGGAAACACACUGAAAGCUGCCUAGUCUUUACCCUUAUGCUUCCUGAAUUUAGUUUGAUGUAGUGACAUGGUCACCAAUAUGGGAGACUAUUAAGUUGUCUACUGUCUUUAUUUUUUUUUUGUAAUGUCGGGCUUUUUGUUACCAAUGUUGGAACAUCUUUUCUACCGGUUACAUCCUGUGUCUCCUAGCCCAACUUAAUUUUUAAGUGCACUUUUGAAGAUCUCAAA